GGGACCUGUACUCGUUGCGGUGCAACGAUGGUCAAAGA
rnacentral:ncRNA from 1 species